CACCUGCUGGGCGAUGAUUGCACGAGCACAUACAUCACCACCACCACCGGCACGAGCAAACAUCGACGAGCAGGCACUUGAGCACGGGUAGACGCACGCACACGUACAAGUGCAUGCAUACACGCAUCCCUGCUCCGGAUCGGGCACCCUCACGCACGCUCAAGCACCGACGGUGCCUUCUCUCUUCACCCUCUCUCUCUUCAGUUUAGCGCCACGCCCUCGUGUGGCCUACAACCGCUCCUCACUUGGCAACCGCAACGUGGCCAUCUACACUAACUCUACAUCAGAAAUCGGCGUGCUCGUUGUGCUGCGCAGUUCUUUGUUGCUCUCUCUCUCUCCCUCCCUCUCUCACAUCUCCACCGCCUUUCCUUGAUUACGUUCUCCUUCUCGGGAGCCCACUCGCACUUGUGCAUCACCGGCGACGCACACGCGCGCCCAGCGCAGGCCUCGGUGUGCGCUGUUCUUCUUUGCGCACUUGUGGCAGACGAUGAAAGCCAUCCACGGAGGCGGCCGUAUCGCUGCCACGGCAUGCGUGCAUGUACAGGUGAAGGGCUCGCUGGACAUUCCGCUCAACCUGAGCCUGCUUGCAGACUUGGGGGACCCGAUGGUGGAGCAAGAGAUUAUUAAGGAGGCAGUGCGUAUUGCCGUGAGCGAGCGGCUUGGUUACUUUGACGGUAUCGAGGUGCACCUGAGCUCCAGCGGCGGGCGGGAAGGUGGCAGAGCGGCUGCUGCGCAGAAGGCGAGGCAGAGGGAUGCGCAGAUGCAGCCGCAGGAAGAAGAGGCCACAGCGUCGUCGCAUAGUCGUGACAUGGAAAAUGGCUGUCGUGAUCGCUACUGCGAGGCGAGUGUGAACCUGGAGGACUUGGGCCGCUGCAUCGAGUCUAUUCAGAAGGCUUACGAAGGUCUCCUGAUGCACGCACAACUCCUGCACGAGCUGCUGAGCACGGACACCGCGAGAGCGCCAUCAGGAGCGGCGGAUGUGGCUGUCACGUCCACGCCACAGUCUCAGCAGCCAAGUGGCUUCGAUGCGCAGGCAGACGCUGUCAAGCGCCUCGCUGCCGCCCGUCAACUUGUAGCCGACAUGGUAGCCGAUCACCGUUCUGGCGUUGUCGCCGAGGCCGCAGCCUUGCAGGAUGGCGCCUCCCCUCAGCGACUUGCCUCGCACGAGACAGGCAUGUUGGCAGAUGAGCACGCGGAGACGACGGCGAUGAUUCACGCAAGAAGAUAUGGUAAGCAGCCCCCUCACGACGACGACGCAGAUGCUGGACUUCGCUUUGGCUUGUUGGCCGGAGGUGACGAGGACGCGGAGGAACAGCAGCGGCAGCAGCAAGCAGAAGAUAGGGAGAGCGAAGAAGAGCUGCGCGCACGGUACAUGGAGCUCGGCUAUUCCCCGCUGUGAAGCCCAGUCGAUGCGCCCUCCCACUGUAUGUCGCCCGCCCCCUCGCUAAGUGUCGUCCAUCCGUCGAUGAGCCGGUGACCAGAGCCCGGCAUGGUGAGAAAGAGAGCAUGAAAGCAGGGAGUGGGGGUUGCGGGAUUGGGAAAGGUGCGGCUGGCAUUGCUCUAAGAGAAGUGGGCAAAGAUACGGCCACCGUUGGGGGGCUCCCCGCCGAAGGGAGAGGGCAGCGACGAUAGGGGAAAACAACAAGGAAGACACGGAUCAGCGUGUUACGCCCAUGCACCGCCACAAGCGCGGCCGCACGGGUGGGAACUUCAUUGGUGUGCCCUGGUGCCGCACUCAUCAAGGCGUCUCCAUCCUCCUCAUGUUCCCCUACACCACCGCCAACUCGCUUGGGUGUGCAUGUGUGGGGUGUAUGUGUGUACGCCUCCCCUUUUAGUCGUGUCUCCCUCUCUCCCUCAUCCUUCCUCCUCCCUCCGCUCUCUGUGCGUGCGUGGUGGACGUCAUCCACCGCAAG
rnacentral:misc_RNA from 1 species